rnacentral:rRNA from 1 species
CAUGCAAGUCGAACGAGAAAGUCCGAAAGGAUGAGUAAAGUGGCGCACGGGUGAGUAACACGUAGGAAUCUACCCUUUGGUGAGGAAUACCUCCGAGAAAUCGGGGUUAAUACCGCAUAAGUCGGUGAUAAACCGAGAAAGACGGCCUAAUCGCUGUCGUCGAAGGAUGAGCCUGCGUACUAUUAGCUAGUUGGUAGGGUAAAGGCCUACCAAGGCGAAGAUGGUUAACCGGCCUGAGAGGGUGUACGGUCACAAUGGAACUGAAACACGGUCCAUACUCCUACGGGAGGCAGCAGUGGGGAAUCUUGCACAAUGGGCGCAAGCCUGAUGCAGCGACGCCGCGUGGAGGAUGAAGGCUUUCGAGUUGUAAACUCCUGUUAAGUGGGAAGAAAUACUCUGGGUUAAUACCCUGGGGGGAUGACG